GUCCCUGACAUCUUUGGCGACUCCGCCGGGACCCGUCUGACUCUCCAGUGGGGGAUCGGACCCUGAGGCAACGCAGCGCGCAUCCUCCAGUUUAGAGGAGCCUUGCCUGGUGAUCUGAUCUCUGCGUUGGCAAUAAGGCGUGUUCUGUGAACCAGCUGAAACUCGUAGAAAUCCAGCAACGUCCACCUACCCGUUGAGUAGGGUCCAGGUUGUCGGGGUUAGAGUCCCUGACUACUUAGGUCUGGGUUAAAGUCCCAGUCCAGGUUUGCGCAGGAUCCAAGUUGUCUGGGUUAGAGUCCCAGCCUGGGUUUGAGUCCCAGUCCAGGUGUUCAAGUCCCUGGAGAGGUAAGGAAGCGCUACCCAAAGACCCUAGCAGCCCUGCCACUCCUUGAAACCAGGAGACGGGAUUGAUGUAAAGGUCCACCAACAAAAAACUGCCUUGGCUCCAUGCUGGAAAGGCCCUUAAGUCCUGAUGACUACCAACACCGUUGUGAAGUGCCAAAGACUGACUGCUUGGACCCAAGAUUCUCACUGCAAAAAGACCCCUCCACAUUGGGAGAAUUCUCCUACUGAUGAUUAGCCUAUUUCACCUUCUAGCUCCACUGUGCCUUCUGGACAGUAGGGAAAAAGUACAAGGUGAAAUGCUAGUAACCUCUCCCUUAUCCACUGACAGAUCUACUGUGCCUUUGAAUUUUUCUAGAAAAAGCAAAACCAUUACAGGGUGAUAUGCUAGUAACCUCUCCCCUAUAUGAUGCGGCACCACGACUGUUUUGGGAAAGAAGAAGAAACACUCACUCCACUGAAAUUGCUAAAGUCCAGGAAUUCCUGACUAAAAAGAACAUUAAAAACUGACCCUGGUGAAGAAACAAAGAAUUGUACACUGGCAGAAAAAAUUUGUGGAACCCAUGCUUGGGAAUGUGGUAUUAAUUGGAUUUUGGGGUUUAUUCUACAGGCUGUGCCCUGUGUUCUGGAUAAAUUCUUCAGCAUGUAUUGCUCUCUCUAAUUGGAUUUUAAAUAACAAGUACCCGAAGAGUUUGUUCUGCCACUGGAAAUUUUACCUGUAUUGAAACCAUUCCAGUGACUAAUAAUGUAACCCCCUCCUAUGCUAUUAAUGUCAAUGCCUUUUAAAAGUACCUGAAAAUAGUUAAAUAACAAAUGUAAUAUAGUACUACACCAAGUAAAGAUGGUAUUAAAUAUCACUGAGGCUGGGAAGGCAUUGCAGUGGGAUCUAGUAUGUUUGGAGAUUCAGAAUUUCCUGAAUGACCAGCUGAUGGCCAUUUGGAGUGAUCUUGAGUACCAGACUUGGCCCACUGCCCUUACAGACACAUCAGGAGUACCAUCUAAUCUGUGGUCAUGGAGAUAUACUAAAGACUUUCUGGGUGAAAGUGUAAACAUUUACAGUGCUCCUUCCAAGCAUUUGAACUGGGGGGUGUGGGCUUCCACAUACCGAAUCCUGACGGGUCCAUGGGGAGGAUGCACAUGGGACUGAAUUAUUCACCGAAACAUCUGGGAAAUUAAACCACUUGGUAUACCUAACUGAUUUAUAGUCAGUGCCCCAAUCCCUUAGUUGUCAGACAAACAGGAUUCCACUCUUUUGUCCGUGCACUCAUUCCUGGAUUGUGGGUGGCUAAGCUCAAGAGAGCAGUUGUAAAUAUUUCUGCAGAGCUUGAAAAAAAAACAGCUAAUGCAUUAAUAAACGCUUUCCAAAAGUUGCAUCGAAAGACUGAUGAAGUAGCAGAAGUAACUUUGCAAAAUAGACGUGUGCUAAAUGCCAUGAAUGCUGAAUUAAGGAGGGGCUUGUGCUCGCAUUGGGGAAAAAUGUUGCUUUGCUGUUAAUCACUCUGGCUUAAUUGACAAAGAUUUACAAGCUAUUAAAAAUGUUGCUGUUGUUUUCCAUGCUAUAUCUCUUGAUCACACUUUUAGUUUUAAGAACCUCUACUCAGACCUUGGGUCAUGGUUUACUAGCCUCCCCCGUACAAUUGUUAAAUGGAUAUGUGUCCCAAGAGUCCCAUUAUGGUCCUCUAGGGACAAAGGGGGGAUUGUUAGGCCUGAAUAAAGAUAUAGCAGACAAAACCAGGUAUGCCAACCUGACCAAAGUCAGGCUAACAGAGGUUUGUGGGUAAUCCCUGAGUGGAAAACACUGAGAAGCAGCAGCAUGUCUCACAAGCGCUGGGAAAAAGUGAGAUAAGAGAGAAGCUGCAUUCCUGGCAUAGUACCAGAUGUGCUGUGUUCGGGCAGCUCCUUCGAAGAACUGAUAAGAGUCCUAGUUUCCCAGCCUCCUUGUUUUCGCUCCCUGGUUUUGUUCUUUGUUUGUUUUUAACUCCCCUACAUUUCUAACUUUAGGCAUGCAUGUAUACUAAAGGUGUCUAGUUUCUAGUUGUUAGAAGAAGGGGGUGGGUUGCUCCAGUGAAUAAUUUAUGACGCGACGGAACUGUCUAUAUAGGCUUAUACUAAAAUGUAAAGAGCAGGCUGGUUCUCUCUGGAGACGAGCUGCUCUCUAUUGAUGCGUGCACUUGUCAAUAAAGAGCUUUUGAUUGGA